rnacentral:rRNA from 1 species
CUACAGAGGUGGCAAGCGUUGUUCGGAUUUAUUGGGCGUAAAGGGUCCGUAGGCGGAUCAUUAAGUCAGUGGUGAAAGCCGGCAGCUCAACUGUCGAACUGCCAUUGAUACUGAUGAUCUCGAAUACGGUUGAAGUUGGCGGAAUAGGUCAUGUAGCGGUGAAAUGCUUAGAUAUGACCUAGAACACCGAUUGCGAAGGCAGCCAACUAAGCCGUUAUUGACGCUGAGGGACGAAAGCGUGGGGAGCGAACAGGAUUAGAUACCCCAGUAGUCC